rnacentral:rRNA from 1 species
GACGGGGGGCCCGCACAAGCGGUGGAGCAUGUGGUUUAAUUCGACGCAACGCGAAGAACCUUACCUGGCCUUGACAUGCAGAGAACUUUCCAGAGAUGGAUUGGUGCCUUCGGGAACUCUGACACAGGUGCUGCAUGGCCGUCGUCAGCUCGUGUCGUGAGAUGUUGGGUUAAGUCCCGUAACGAGCGCAACCCCUAUCCCUAGUUGCUAGCAGUUCGGCUGAGAACUCUAGGGAGACUGCCGGUGACAAACCGGAGGAAGGUGGGGAUGACGUCAGGUCAUCAUGGCCCUUACGGCCAGGGCUACACACGUGCUACAAUGGUGCGUACAGAGGGCUGCAAACCCGCGAGGGGGAGCUAAUCUCACAAAACGCAUCGUAGUCCGGAUCGGAGUCUGCAACUCGACUCCGUGAAGUCGGAAUCGCUAGUAAUCGCGAAUCAGAAUGUCGCGGUGAAUACGUUCCCGGGCCUUGUACACACCGCCCGUCACACCAUGGGAGUGGAUUGCACCAGAAGUGGUUAGUCUAACCUUCGGGAGGACGAUCACCACGGUGUGGUUCAUGACUGGGGUGAAGUCGUAACAAGGUAGCCGUA